GACUUUCUCAUUUAGCCAAAGAAUUCAGUGAGCACAGGCAAACUUCAGGAACAACUCAAGAAAGCAGAAGCCUCUCUUCAAAAGAGAAACAAAGAGCACAAUAGCGUUUUGGAAACCUUUGAAACUCUCAACAAAGAACUUGACUCAGUGAAAGUACAGCUUGCAGAUACGACCAAACAGUAUCAGGACAUCAGUAAGACUUUGGAUGAAAGCAUCAAGACAUCAGAGACCCAGCUUGAAGAGAAGAGAAAGGAAAAUGAGGAACUCUUGAUGUCCAAUGAAAGUCUUAGCGAUGAGCUCAAAACAGCAAAGAAACAGCUCGAAGAUGUCAUACGAGAGAAAAAGGUAAGUGG